rnacentral:rRNA from 1 species
UACAGAGGUCCCGAGCGUUGUUCGGAUUCACUGGGCGUAAAGGGUGCGCAGGCGGCCGAGUGUGUGAGGCGUGAAAGCCCGGGGCUUAACCCCGGAAUUGCACCUCAAACUACACGGCUAGAGCAUUGGAGAGGGUAGCAGAAUUCAUGGUGUAGCAGUGAAAUGCGUAGAUAUCAAGAGGAACACCUGAGGUGAAGACGGGUUGCUGGGCCGACACUGACGCUGAGGCGCGAAAGCCAGGGGAGCAAACGGG